AACAGGCUAGUCUGGUCCGAGCGUCCACAGCGACGACCAGGUUCGGCACCUCGAUGUCGGCUCAUCACAUCCUGGAGGUGGAGAAGCUUCCAAGGGUUUGGCUGUUCGCCAAUUAAAGUGAUACGCGAGCUGGGUUCAGACCGUCGUGAGACAGGUUGGUCUCUAUCUGCUGUCGGCGUGGGGUGUUUGAGGGAAGUUGAUCCUAGUAAGCAAUUGCUACUUUAUGGAGAGAUCCAUAAUGACAACGUAG
rnacentral:rRNA from 1 species